UACGUAGGGUCCAAGCGUUAUCCGGAAUCACUGGGCGUAAAGCGUUCGUAGGCGGCGAUUUAAGUGAGAUGUGAAAGCGUGUGGCUCAACCAUAUCGUUGUGUCUCAUACUGGGUUUCUGGAGGAAGGCAGAGGCAAGUGGAAUUGGCAGUGUAGCAGUGAAAUGCGUAGAGAUUGCCAGGAACACCAAUGGCGAAGGCAGCUUGCUGGGCCUUUUCUGACGCUGAGGAACGAAAGCGUGGGGAGCGAACAGG
rnacentral:rRNA from 1 species